rnacentral:rRNA from 1 species
AUUGAACGCUGGCGGCAGGCCUAACACAUGCAAGUCGAGCGGCAGCGGAAAGUAGCUUGCUACUUUGCCGGCGAGCGGCGGACGGGUGAGUAAUGUCUGGGAAACUGCCUGAUGGAGGGGGAUAACUACUGGAAACGGUAGCUAAUACCGCAUGACCUCGAAAGAGCAAAGUGGGGGAUCUUCGGACCUCACGCCAUCGGAUGUGCCCAGAUGGGAUUAGCUAGUAGGUGAGGUAAUGGCUCACCUAGGCGACGAUCCCUAGCUGGUCUGAGAGGAUGACCAGCCACACUGGAACUGAGACACGGUCCAGGCUCCUACGGGAGGCAGCAGUGGGGAAUAUUGCACAAUGGGCGCAAGCCUGAUGCAGCCAUGCCGCGUGUGUGAAGAAGGCCUUAGGGUUGUAAAGCACUUUCAGCGAGGAGGAAGGCAUCAUACUUAAUACGUGUGGUGAUUGACGUUACUCGCAGAAGAAGCACCGGCUAACUCCGUGCCAGCAGCCGCGGUAAUACGGAGGGUGCAAGCGUUAAUCGGAAUUACUGGGCGUAAAGCGCACGCAGGCGGUUUGUUAAGUCAGAUGUGAAAUCCCCGCGCUUAACGUGGGAACUGCAUUUGAAACUGGCAAGCUAGAGUCUUGUAGAGGGGGGUAGAAUUCCAGGUGUAGCGGUGAAAUGCGUAGAGAUCUGGAGGAAUACCGGUGGCGAAGGCGGCCCCCUGGACAAAGACUGACGCUCAGGUGCGAAAGCGUGGGGAGCAAACAGG